AAAGAUGGCUUUGGCUAUCACUCUGGGAUGGACCUGCGGUGCAUUAGCUAGUUGGUAAGGUAACGGCUUACCAAGGCGAUGAUGCAUAGCCGAGUUGAGAGACUGAUCGGCCACAAUGGAACUGAGACACGGUCCAUACUCCUACGGGAGGCAGCAGUAGGGAAUCUUCCACAAUGGGCGCAAGCCUGAUGGAGCAACACCGCGUGAGUGAAGAAGGGUUUCGGCUCGUAAAGCUCUGUUGUUGGAGAAGAACGUGCGUGAGAGUAACUGUUCACGCAGUGACGGUAUCCAACCAGAAAGUCACGGCUAACUACGUGCCAGCAGCCGCGGUAAUACGUAGGUGGCAAGCGUUAUCCGGAUUUAUUGGGCGUAAAGCGAGCGCAGGCGGUUGCUUAGGUCUGAUGUGAAAGCCUUCGGCUUAACCGAAGAAGUGCAUCGGAAACCGGGCGACUUGAGUGCAGAAGAGGACAGUGGAACUCCAUGUGUAGCGGUGGAAUGCGUAGAUAUAUGGAAGAACACCAGUGGCGAAGGCGGCUGUCUGGUCUGCAACUGACGCUGAGGCUCGAAAGCAUGGGUAGCGAACAGGAUUAGAUACCCUGGUAGUCCAUGCCGUAAACGAUGAGUGCUAGGUGUUGGAGGGUUUCCGCCCUUCA
rnacentral:rRNA from 1 species